rnacentral:rRNA from 1 species
ACGGGGUGCAGCAGGCGCGAAACCUCUACAAUGCACGAAAGUGUGAUAGGGGAAUUCUACGUGCAAGUUUUACUUGCUUUUCUCAAGUUUAAACCGCUUGGGGAAUAAGGGCUGGGCAAGACCCGUGCCAGCCGCCGCGGUAACACGGGCAGCUCGAGUGGCGUUCGCGAAUAUUGGGCCUAAAGCGUACGUAGCCUGUUAAACAAGUUCCUGGUGAAAGCUUGCGACUUAAUCGUGAGAAUUGCCAGGAAAACUGUUUGACUUGGGACCGGAAGAGGUCGGAGGUAUUCUAGGGGUAGGGGUAAAAUCCUGUAAUCCCUGGAGGACCAUCGGUGGCGAAGGCGUCCGACUGGGACGGGUCCGACGGUGAGGUACGAAAGCUAGGGGAGCGACCCGGAUUAGAUACCCGGUUAGUCCUAGCCGUAAAUGAUGUCUGUUUGGUAUUGCAAUUUCUACGAGAGAUUGCAGUGCCGUAGGGAAGCCGUUAAACAGACCGCCUGGGGAGUACGGCCGCAAGGCUGAAACUUAAAGGAAUUGGCGGGGGAGUACUACAAGGGGUGGAGGCUGCGGUUUAAUUGGAUACAACGCCGGACAACUCACCAGGGAAGACAGCACUAUGAUGGUCAGUCUAAAGGGCUUACUUGAGGCGCUGAGAGGUGGUGCAUGGCCACCGUCAGCUCGUGCAGUGAUGUGUCCUGU